UACACUUAUCCGACUUGGGCGGAGUAUGUUGGUUUUCUUAUUAGCUUUUCGUCGAUGGUAUGGGUACCGGCUUACGCUAUUUAUUACGUUUUAACCGGAAAAGGUAGCGUCUUAGAGAAUUUGCGAUUGGGGUUGAAACCGAAAUUUAUACGCCGCAUGCCUAGCAAAACCGAUGAUAACUUCGCAUCUAUAGAGCAAUUCAUCUAAUUAGGUCAUUUAGAUUAAAACAAAUUACUUAGAUAUGUAUGAAACUAAUCGAUAUUAGCGCCAUUUUAUACAAUUUGAGAAAAAAGAA